GGACGAGUGUUGGAACUGGUAUACAUCACAGACUUAAAAUCUGUGGCCCAAAUGGGCUUAAGGGUUCAAAUCCCUUCUCGUCUACCA
rnacentral:tRNA from 1 species